AUACGUAGGUGACAAGCGUUAUCCGGAUUUACUGGGCGUAAAGGGCGUGUAGGCGGUCUUGCAAGUCAGAAGUGAAAUUCCUGAGCUCAACUCGGGCGCUGCUUCUGAAACUGCAGGACUUGAGUGCUGGAGGGGAUAGCGGAAUUCCUAGUGGAGCGGUAAAAUGCGCAGAUAUUAGGAAGAACACCGGUGGCGAAGGCGGCUAUCUGGACAGUAACUGACGCUGAGGCGCGAAAGCGUGGGAAGCAAACAGGAUUAGAUACCCUGGUAGGCCACGCCGUAAACGAUGAAUACUAGGUGUAGGGGGUAUCGACUCCCUCUGUGCCGCAGUUAACACAAUAAGUAUUCCGCCUGGGGAGUACGGCCGCAAGGUUGAAACUCAAAUGAAUUGACGGGG
rnacentral:rRNA from 1 species